CCUACGGGUGGCUGCAGUGAGGAAUAUUGGUCAAUGGGCGGUAGCCUGAACCAGCCAAGUAGCGUGAAGGAAGACUGCCCUAUGGGUUGUAAGCUUCUUUUGUAUGGGAGUAAAGUGCAGUAUGUAUACUACUUUGCAUGUCCCUUAUGAAUCAGGAUCGGCUAACUCCGUGCCAGCAGCCGCGGUAAUACGGAGGAUCCGAGCGUUAUCCGGAUUUAUUGGGUUUAAAGGGAGCGUAGGCGGCAUGUCAAGCGUGCUGUGAAAUGUCCGGGCUCAACCCGGGCACUGCAGCGCGAACUGGCGUGCUUGAGUCCGCGGAAAGUAGGCGGAAUUCGUGGUGUAGCGGUGAAAUGCUUAGAUAUGACGAAGAACCCCGAUGGCGAAGGCAGCUUGCUGCAGUGUAACUGACGUUGAGGCUCGAAAGCGUGGGUAGCGAACAGGAUUAGAUACCCGAGUAGUC
rnacentral:rRNA from 1 species